rnacentral:rRNA from 1 species
GAUGAACGCUGGCGGCGCGCCUAACACAUGCAAGUCGAACGAUUAAAGCACCUUCGGGUGUGUAUAAAGUGGCGAACGGCUGAGUAACACGUGGGCAACCUGCCCCUUUCAUUGGGAUAGCCACGGGAAACCGUGGAUAAUACCGAAUGCUUCGAGACUUCCGCAUGGAAGACUCGAGAAAGCUCCGGCGGAGAGGGAUGGGCCCGCGGCCUGUUAGCUUGUUGGUGGGGUAACGGCCUACCAAGGCAAUGAUGGGUAGCUGGGUUGAGAGACCGACCAGCCAGAUUGGGACUGAGACACGGCCCAGACUCCUACGGGAGGCAGCAGUGGGGAAUCUUGCACAAUGGGCGAAAGCCUGAUGCAGCGACGCCGCGUGCGGGAUGAAGGCCUUCGGGUUGUAAACCGCUUUCAGCAGGGACGAGGCGAAAGUGACGGUACCUGCAGAAGAAGCCCCGGCUAACUACGUG